rnacentral:tRNA from 1 species
GCGGGUGUAGUUCAGUUGGUAGAAUGUCUGCUUCCCAAGCAGAAGGUCGUGGGUUCGAUCCCCAUCACCCGCU